rnacentral:rRNA from 1 species
AUUGAACGCUAGCGGGAUGCUUUACACAUGCAAGUCGAACGAGUGGCGGACGGGUGAGUAAUGUAUCGGAACGUGCCCAGUAGAGGGGGAUAACUACUCGAAAGAGUGGCUAAUACCGCAUACUAUAGGAGGGGCCGAUAUGGGAUUAGCUAGUUGGUGGGGUAAAGGCUCACCAAGGCAACGAUCCGUAGCUGGUUUGAGAGGAUGACCAGCCACACUGGGACUGAGACACGGCCCAGACUCCUACGGGAGGCAGCAGUGGGGAAUUUUGGACAAUGGGGGAAACCCUGAUCCAGCCAUGCCGCGUGUAUGAGAAGGCCUUCGGGUUGUAAAGUACUUUCGGCAGAGAGGCGUUAUCUGCAGAAGAAGCACCGGCUAACUCCGUGCCAGCCGCCGCGGUAAUUC